GAUGAUGAACGCAGCGAAAUGCGAUAAUUAAUGUGAAUUGCAGAAUUCCGUGAAUCAUCGAGUCUUUGAACGCACAUUGCGCCUCAUGGCAUUCCGUGAGGCAUGCCCAUCUCAGCGUUAGAAAAUAUUCUCAAAUUUUAGUUUUGUGCUAAAAUUUGGAUCAUGUCAAAGAAGCUUUUACUAUUAUUGUGAUCGCUCUUUGGAAAUUGAUAGGUCUUUGAGUUGCUACUCAUAGAACGUGAUGAAUCUUUCUUCGUUCUAUUGUAAUUCACUCUGGUAGUCCUAAAACUUGUAUGCCUGUGGCAUAUCUUGUAAUUUGACCUGAGAUUGGGUAGGGAUACCCGCUGAACUUAAGCAUAUCAAUAAGCGGAGGA
rnacentral:misc_RNA from 1 species